AUCCAAAGGGUUGCUUUAGAACCUUCCUCUAACCUAGCUGUUAUCAAAUAAUUCCCCCGCUCCUGAAAAGCAACAAAAAGUCAUAGGGAAAUUGUAAGGACAGUCUUCAUCAUAAUUACUUGCCAUUAUUUCCUUCAUCAGAAAACAAAAAAUGUCUUCAUUAUGCAUCGGUUUGCCAUCUCCCCAUCUUUCCUUUUAUUCCCGAUUCAGUUUCUCUUUAGCUCUUCAGCACCUUUAAGCAUUCAUGGCUUCUGUCCAUCGCCUAUCUGCAUCCACCUCUUUCGCCGUGAAAUAAGGAACUUCAUUCAUCAGAUAAGUUGUUUCUCUCCUUUUCAGUCCCUCUGUAGCUAGAAUAUGACCAACCUUGUUUGAUUCUCUAUAGGUAAAUCGAAAAACAUAAGACCCGAAACUUGAACAUAGUUGCUUUGAAUCGUUGAUAAAAACUUCCUUAGCUUGCAGUUUACAAAAUCAUCGUAUGUGCAUCUCCUUCUAUUUCAAUCGCCCUCAGUCCCAAAUUUAAACCUAGAUGGAUCGCCUGGAGACACGCCAUCGCUUCUAUCGCAAAAAUAGACGUGUCGAAAUUGAUUUUAACCGUUGAACCAGUCGGAGUUGUCUAUCUGCCCAUGAUGAGCCCACUCCCUGGGAAUUCCCCAAACAAAUGCUUCCUAUUCUCUACUCCAUUUUGGCAUCUUCGGCAAGUAGCGGAUCCUAGCAUUCGUCUAUAGUGUAGGUUGCUAAAAAUAGGCAGAUAGUUACAGAAGAUUGUCCGGUUUGUAAUUUUAAUCUUAAGAGGUAGAUCUAGGUUCCACAAAUUUUUUUGGUAAAAUAUUCUAUAGCUUUGUUAUCUUUGGGUUUAUUCAUCUUGUAAGAGAAAUUUAUGCCCACUACGUACAGAAUACUCCCCUAUUGGCUCACCACGCCAGAUGAUAUGGUCUUCAUGCGGAUUCAUAGACAAAGGAAUGCAUAAAAUUCUCGCAGCUUCCUCCUCUGGAAGGGUAUUUCGAAUCA